CUCACAUCAACAACUAACUGCCCAUUCCGGUUUGAACCCAUGACCCUGGAGACACUGGACCACUGCCCUGACCACUACACCACACUGGCCUCUAAACCUGGCCUCUGAACCUCGGUUAACAGGAACCCAACGGAGUGGAUGCUCUCGAUGGCUGCCAGAAUCUGCCGACCAAGUCGGAGCGUGGUGGACACAGAGAACGUCCCGUUUCGCAUCGUCCGACGGAGGUCUGCAAGGUUCCUCCCCUGAAAAUAAAAACAAAACUUCAAUGUUCACAAUC